CCUUGAUAGCCUACUUGAUAGUGGUUGUGUUAUUGAGUAGGUAGUGCUGCAUUGGGGUUCCUUGAUAGCCUACUUGAUUUUUUUAGUUUUUAAAGAGGAGAGAGAAAUUUUUAAAAAGGAGAAGAGAAUUAAAAAAAUAGAAAAAAAAAAAAAGAAAAUCACUCGAGCAUACUCGAAAACUCGAGUAGCACUCGAGUAGCUCCUCCCUGCAACGCCUACUCGAGUGCAAUACUCGAGUUCGAGUAAGGCAUCGAGGAUGCCGUUGCCAAUGCUCUUAGAUCUAACUAAUCCAAUGGCUACAAAUAAAACGAAUAAAAUAUAUAAAAAGGAAAAAGAAACGCGUUAACAUUAAAGAGCUCCGAUUUUUUACAGUGCAAGGGUGAAAAACGUAAAAUACACAUCUCUGUAAAUCAGGAAGAUUCCAUGAUUUCCGACUUUCUCUCUGCCAAAUCUUCACGAUGAUUCGCGUGUAGAAUUGGGUUGAAAUUCAGACGACUCAUAUCUUCUCCACUAAGAAUCGAAAAUCUGUGAAGAAUUAUCCUUCGGAAUCGAAGAACAACCUGGUUUGUUCAAUUUCUGGGGAAACGAAACGCGAAAUCGAAAGAAGAAUUUGGGUUUGAAACCGAGGGAUUUCUGCGUUUGAGUGGAAGGGUUGAGUUCUUGAAGAAUGAGUUGGAGAGGUUGGUCGGUGGAUAUGUCUUGGGCUGCAGCUCUGUUGAUCACAAUCCAGUUUAAGAAGAUGGAAAGAGAGUUCUGGACCUUCUGGUUGGCACCUGCAUUUGGAGGCCAAAUUUUACAAUAAAAUAUAUAUAUUCACUUUAUAAAAAAAAAUUGUAUUCUAUUCAAUAAAAAUUAUGUUAUGUUCAUUGUAAAAUUGAGAUUAUUCGUUAUAUAAUAUAUUUAUGAAUGGUAUACUUUAUUUUUA